UACGUAGGGGGCAAGCGUUGUCCGGAUUUAUUGGGCGUAAAGAGCGUGUAGGCGGCCAUGUAGGUCCGUUGUGAAAACUCGAGGCUCAACCUCGAGACGCCGAUGGAAACCAUGUGGCUAGAGUCCGGAAGAGGAGAGUGGAAUUCCUGGUGUAGCGGUGAAAUGCGCAGAUAUCAGGAGGAACACCGGUGGCGAAGGCGGGUCUCUGGGCCGAUACUGACGCUGAGGAGCGAAAGCGUGGGGAGCGAACAGG
rnacentral:rRNA from 1 species